UACGUAGGGUGCAAGCGUUGUCCGGAAUUAUUGGGCGUAAAGAGCUCGUAGGCGGUCUGUCACGUCGGCUGUGAAAACCCGGGGCUCAACCCCGGGCCUGCAGUCGAUACGGGCAGACUAGAGUGCGGUAGGGGAGACUGGAAUUCCUGGUGUAGCGGUGAAAUGCGCAGAUAUCAGGAGGAACACCGGUGGCGAAGGCGGGUCUCUGGACAGUUCCUGACACUGAGGCACGAAGGCCAGGGGAGCAAACGGG
rnacentral:rRNA from 1 species